rnacentral:rRNA from 1 species
AAACAUUGCCUUUAGAUACCUUAUUAAAGGUUCAUCCUGCCCAGUGACUUUACUCUUAAACGGCCGCGGUACCCUAACCGUGCAAAGGUAGCAUAAUCAUUUGCCUUUUAAUUGUAGGCUAGUAUGAACGGACAAACGUAAUUCUUACUGUAUCAUUCUUAUUAUCUAAAAAUUAGACUCUAGGUGAAGAUACCUAGAUAAUCUUGAAAGACAAGAAGACCCUAUAGAGUUUCAGUAACUUCCCUUUCCUAAAUAAAAAGUUACUUUAGUUGGGGCGACUUAGGAUUACAAAAAACAUCCUAUACUUUAAAGAAAAAAAAAUAAUUCAUUUAUAAAGAUCCUAUACAAUAGAUUUUAAAAACAAACUACCUUAGGGAUAACAGGCUUAUCUUCCUAAAGAGUUCACAUUAACAGGAAGGUCUGGCACCUCGAUGUUGGCUUAGAGUAACCCCUUAAUGCAAAAGUUAAGUUAGGUCGGUUUGUUCAACCGUUAAAUCUCUACGUG